rnacentral:rRNA from 1 species
AUUGAACGCUAGCGGGAUGCCUUACACAUGCAAGUCGAACGGAGUGGCGAACGGGUGAGUAAUGUAUCGGAACGUGCCCAGUAGCGGGGGAUAACUACGCGAAAGCGUAGCUAAUACCGCAUACUAUUGGAGCGGCCGAUAUAGGCUUAGCUAGUUGGUGGGGUAACGGCUCACCUAGGGGACGCUCCCUAGCUGGUCUGAGAGGCUGACCAGCCACACUGGAACUGGGACACGGGCCAGAACCCUACGGGAGUCAGCAGUGGGGAAUAUUGCACAAUGGGCGCAAGCCUGAUGCAGCCAUGCCGCGUGUAUGAAGAAGGCCUUCGGGUUGUAAAGUACUUUCAGCGGGGAGGCGUUACCCGCAGAAGAAGCACCGGCUAACUCCGUGCCAGCCGCCGCGGUAAUAC